rnacentral:rRNA from 1 species
UUGGAAAUUUAUUUUCAGUGUCGCAGGGAAACCGAUAAACACACCGCCUGGGGAGUACGACCGCAAGGUUAAAACUCAAAUGAAUUGACGGGGACCCGCACAAGUAGUGGAGCAUGUGGUUUAAUUCGAAGAUACGCGCAGAACCUUACCAACACUUGACAUGUUCGUCGCGACUCUAAGAGAUUAGAGUUUUCGGUUCGGCCGGACGAAACACAGGUGCUGCAUGGCUGUCGUCAGCUCGUGUCGUGAGAUGUUGGGUUAAGUCCCGCAACGAGCGCAACCCUCACUUUUAGUUGCCAUCAUUAAGUUGGGCACUCUGAAAGAACUGCCAGUGAUAAGCUGGAGGAAGGUGGGGAUGACGUCAAGUCCUCAUGGCCCUUACGUGUUGGGCUACACAUGUGCUACAAUGGCAUCUACAACAGGAAGCAAAACGGCAACGUUAAGCAAAUCCCGAAAAGAUGCCUCAGUUCGGAUUGCACUCUGCAACUCGAGUGCAUGAAGCUGGAAUUACUAGUAAUCGUGGAUCAGCGUGCCACGGUGAAUGCGUUCCCGGGUCUUGUACACACCGCCCGUCACACCAUGGGAGUUGGUUCUACCUUAAGGCAAGGUUUUAAACCCUUGACCACGGUAUAGUCAGCGACUGGGGUG